AGCCACUAGGCCGAGGGCACGUCUGCCUGGGCGUC
rnacentral:rRNA from 1 species